AAAUUAUUUGAGAGGACUGAAAUAAGAGAGAGUUCAUUCUCUUUCAGUGAAAAAAUAGGAGCAAAGAAGCAUUGUUUUGGAUAACAAGAGAAAUGUGAGGGUACUUCCAAAGGUUCGCCGAAAAAUGAAGUUAAAUGAAGUGAGAAUGCUGCCAAAGAGCGAUUACCAAAACCAAAUCCAGAACCUGGGAUUGAAAAUACUGGAAUCCAAAGGACCCUGGAUGAUGAAAGCUUUGUCCAAAUAUGGAAAUAGAGCAAAGAUUUUACAAGUUCCAGAAUCAAGGAUCAAUUCAUUUAUGCUGAGAAGGAAUGGAGUUUCUUCAGUUCUGCACGACAUAGGCAUGUCUUGCCUAUGUUUUUGGCUCAGCAUCUCUGACCUAUCAGAUUAUUAACCAUCAUUGGAACGACAACAAAAUGAUAAAUUGUUCAUUUGUAGAACCUACACCAAGUCCCAGGAUUGCAAUGAUGUACUCAAUACUGGUGAGAGAAUCCUAUGAUUAUUUCCUAUCCUAGUUACUGGAGGACAAAGGUUCUAUGUUAGUGAGAGGAUUGUCUGGGACAGGCUGCUUUCUAUGAUCUUAGAAAAGCAGAAAGUUCAUUAGAAUGCCCAGGGAGUAAAUUCAUAACUUCUUUUUUCACCAACUUCAAUCGAUUCAUGUCAUGAAAUGUAAAAUUAAAUAGCCAUUUAAGAAACUAGUGCAGGGGCAGGCACUUGGUCCAACAGUUAAGAAUAUGGAUCUUCUAUAUAUAAAGAUAAUUGAAAAUGAAUCUUGAUGUGAAUGGGAUGGGAGAGGGAGCAGGAGACGGGAUGGUUGCGGGUGGGAGGGAGGUUAUGGGGGGAAAAAGCCACUAUAAUCCAAAAGUUGUACUUUGGAAAUUUAUAUAUAUUAAAUAAAAGUUAAAAAAAAAAAAAAGAUGUCUGUGUU
rnacentral:lncRNA from 1 species